rnacentral:misc_RNA from 13 species
AGUAUUUGGGGUGACACUGAUAUAAACUUUCUCGGUCAAUAAUCUCCUUUCCAAGAUUAUUGACCGAGAAAGUUUAUAUCAGUGUCACCCCAAAUACUU